UUAAAAUCUGUGUGGAUUCUUCUAUGUAAGAACAUACAAACAUACUUGCUCAGUGGCUUUCAAUAUUUCCAAAGAACGUGGCACUAGGUAUCAGAUGCCAACAUUAAGCAACAAAAAUAUUUUGUUGUGCUCUCUAAAUAUUUCAACGACAGCAACAUCCAUCCCUGGAAUCCAAAUUUCUGUACAGCUCUGCCAAAGCAUGGACUGAACAGAAGGAACCUAUACUUAAGGUAAAAGGACUUUAGGAGACCAUCUCUUGUAUCUAGGCAGCUAAUAGUGGCAAAUGAAUCUGAGCAUCAAUCAGAGUCAUUUAGAGUGUAGUUGAUAAUUCUGCCUCUAAUGAUUGCAGACAACACCAGCCAGUCAGAAAUUAACUGGAGGCCAUGCCUGUCUUCCAGUGCCUCUUGAGUGUUGGGGUGCUGUUGUAUUCUCGCUCCCCCAUACCCUGCUGAGAACAAAAUACAACUCUACCAUAAAGGCC
rnacentral:lncRNA from 1 species